rnacentral:lncRNA from 1 species
UUUCACUGCCACCCUGGAGGCAAUGAAAGAGGCAGAAUGCCUCUGGCGGCUCUCAACACCACACCAGGUGCGUGCCUGGCUCACCAGCGGGAGGUGGAAAAUGAGAGUUGGCAAGGAACCUGCCUUUGAAUGAAAGGCGUUACUGUGCGCAACCCUGAGGCAAAGCAGGAGACGGGAGUGGAGGGGGCUGCAGGGCCGGAAUGCGGUACAUUCGGACUGGACCCCGCCCUGCAUUAAGAGAAACUCUUCCCUCUUUGACGGGAUGAAUCAAUAUAAUAAACAAAUCAGGGCAGCAUCCUAGACAAUUGGUUGCCAGGGUCAUUGCACAGAGUAUAUUAACUAACACAUGCUUUUAUUUCUUCUCCCUUCCUAUUGGCUGAGCUUAAUACAGUAAUACAUACAAUUACGUAAAACCAUUAAUGACAAUACUCUGGCUAUUUUUUAGCCAUAAGCAACUGGAGGGGGAAAUGCAAAGAUGAAGAUCUGAAUAUGUUCUGUUGGUGCUUCUGGGGCACAGCCAGGGUCCCAGAAGGAGCUGAGAGGGAGAGAAGUUUAGGGAUGAACUAAAAUCAGCUCCCCCUUUGUGAACAAUGCAGCAAACACUGUGCAAGACAAGGGUUGGCAGGAGGACAGAGGUCCUGGUGUUGCUUGGGACCCGGAUCUCCAGUAGCAAACUGGACUUAACUUCUCUACACCUUUUGUCUGUAACCACAGAUUCGUGCCAAACAAGGUCACUAUGUGCCCAGCUGAGGCCUUCAGGGCAGGCACACUGUUUCUGAUUGUAUACUGUUGCUGUGGUCUGAUGGGUACAAAGCAAUGAGUUGAUGCUGCAGAGAUGCACCUGGACCCCUCCUUCCUGAUGAGCUCCUGAGCUCAGCACUUUUCAGAGGUGGAGCAUAUCCAGAUGGCAGCUUCUAAAGAACCGAGCCCAGCACCUGAAUCAGCCCUGUUUUAUGCUCAAAACGCUUGGUGCCAGGACCUCUCAGUCAGACGCUGAGGUGAGAGAGCUCAGCAGCUGUUGGCAUGGGACUUCCAAGGUCUGACUUGCUGGGCUCCGUGCUGUGACACGAAGGAGGACAAGGAGAGAAUCUGGCUUUCUGUAACUCAAAGGAAAAAAACUCUGCUUGCCUCAGACAUGGAGGAAGAUUUAAAGGCUAUUUUAAGGGGUUCAGCUGAGCCAGAAGGGUCCAAAUUGAAUAACUGGACCCACAGCUGUUAUUCCUGAAGAAGCUUUCACUCACGUAAUUACCUCCCCUCACACUGGGCUCUGAGAACAUCCCAGAUUUGGUUUGAAAAGAUUGAAAUGCUUUAGCUCCCAUGGGAUUGAGAAACUUAAUCCCAUUGGGAAUACAAAUUAAUGGGUCCAGUCAUUCACCCAGCAAGGACACCGAGCACUGCUCCAUGCCCAGCUCUGUGCUCUGGGAAUGUCUAAUGCUGUGCUGAGAACAGAGAAGCAGCGGAAUCAUAAAAUGAGAUGACCAGCGCUAUGACUGGGCAAACAGAGGGACUGUCUCAGGAGUUCAGGAAGGGCCUUUAAUCCAAGCCGGCUCUGAAAAAGGGCUUCCCCAAAGAUGACACCUGUGAGCUGGGGCUGGAGCAGGGGAGCCAAUUGGAGGGGAGAUAGGCAGGGCAGAGGGGGAGGCUGUGCACAUACUCAGGGGUGAGAGAGCUUGGACAGGCACGACAAACCUGAACUCGCCACAUGCUCAGAGUGUGCUGAGACCUUCUCCUGGCCUCUGCGGGCCGAUGGCUCAAGGGCCGGCAGUGUCAAAGGUGUGUUUUGGGAUGCCCUUAGGACACUGGUUGCCGGUAAGGUGAUGUCUCUUUAUAGUCUUGUGAUUCUACUGUCUUUUGCAAUCCUGAGUAUUUCUGCAUCUCAGACAUAAAUGCCACAUUCAUUUGUGUUCCAAGCAAGGGAAAUUUGGGGGUCCAAGGUAAUUUAUAAGAAAGCUUUGGGCUAUUAGAUAUGUUUGGUUUGAAUGGAAGUAGAGAGAGAAGAGUGUUUCAUGAGAUGUCAGAAGAUUAGAAUUUAAAUCCUGUCUCUGACAAUUACUAGCACUUCAAUCUGUAAAACAGGCUUAAUAAUACCCAGACUCUCUUUCUUAUAAAUAAUAAUGGGAUCAAAAUGAAAUGAUCUUUCUCAAAGUUCUUUUUAGUUUUUGGUGAGGAAGAUUUUCCCUGAGAUAACAUCUGUGCCAGUCUUCCUCUGUGUUGUAUGUGGGAUGCCAUCACAGCAUGGCCUGAUGAGUGGUGCCUAGGUCAACCUAGUGCCUGGGAUCUGAACCCGUGAACCCCGGGCCCCUGAAGUGGAGCAUGGGAAGUUAACCACUGUGCCACUGGGCCAGCCACUAAAUAUUUUAUUUACUUUAUCUCAUCUCAGAGCACUUUGAGAGGGGCCAGCCUGGUGAUGCAGUGGUUAAGUUUGCACACUCCACUUCAGUGGCCCAGAGUUCAUGGGUUCAGAUCCCAGAUACAGACCUGCACACCACUCAUCAGCCGUGCUGUGAUGGCGUCCCACAUAGAAAACAGAGGAAGAUGGCACAGAUGCUAGCUCAGGGACAAUCCUCCUCAAGCGAAAAGAGGAAGAUUGGCAAUGAAUGUUAGCUCAGGGUCAAUCUUCCUCACCAAAAAAAAGAAGAAAAUAAAAUAUGUGUAAAAUUUAUUUAUUACUAGUUU